UACGAAGGGGGCUAGCGUUGUUCGGAAUUACUGGGCGUAAAGCGCACGUAGGCGGACUACUAAGUCAGGGGUGAAAUCCCGGGGCUCAACCCCGGAACUGCCUUUGAUACUGGCGAUCUCGAGUCCGGGAGAGGUGAGUGGAACUGCGAGUGUAGAGGUGAAAUUCGUAGAUAUUCGCAAGAACACCAGUGGCGAAGGCGGCUCACUGGCCCGGUACUGACGCUGAGGUGCGAAAGCGUGGGGAGCAAACAGG
rnacentral:rRNA from 1 species